AACAAUUCGACGAGAAAGUUGACAAAGUUUACUGAUUUAAUUAAGUCGCCGACCUGCCGAAGACUCUCGAAGCACACGGUAAGCAUAUAUGGCCCCGCAUCAAGGGGUGAAUAUGUUUUCGGAUCAUCGGAUUUCACAGAAAAAAUUGUUCGGAUUUUGGAUCUAGCGAAUAUUUUCCACGGAAUUGCGGAUCUUAUUAAUACAGCGGUUUGCAGAUUUAUCUAAUAUUUUGGCUCGGAUUGUGG